UUCCAGACUCCUACGGGAGGCAGCAGUGAGGAAUAUUGGUCAAUGGGCGGGAGCCUGAACCAGCCAAGCCGCGUGAGGGAAGAAGGUACAGCGUAUCGUAAACCUCUUUUGUCAGGGAACAAAGGCGGGGACUAGUCCCCGGAUGAGGGUACCUGAAGAAAAAGCAUCGGCUAACUCCGUGCCAGCAGCCGCGGUAAUACGGAGGAUGCGAGCGUUAUCCGGAUUUAUUGGGUUUAAAGGGAGCGUAGAUGGGUUGUUAAGUCAGUUGUGAAAGUUUGCGGCUCAACCGUAAAAUUGCAAUUGAUACUGGCAGCCUUGAGUACAGUUGAGGUAGGCGGAAUUCGUGGUGUAGCGGUGAAAUGCUUAGAUAUCACGCAGAACUCCGAUUGCGAAGGCAGCAUACCGGCGCUCAACUGACGCUCAUGCACGAAAGUGUGGGUAUCGAACAGGAUUAGAUACCCUUGUA
rnacentral:rRNA from 1 species